rnacentral:tRNA from 1 species
GGGCCGGUAGUUCAGCGGUACGAAUGCCCGCCUCGCACGCGGGAGGUCGGGGGUUCAAUUCCCCCCCGGUCCACCA